rnacentral:rRNA from 1 species
GAGUUUGAUCCUGGCUCAGAACGUACGCUGGCGGCACGCCUAACACAUGCAAGUCGAACGAAGUAGCAAUACUUAGUGGCAGACGGGUGAGUGACAUGUAGGUAUCUGCCCUUUGGCCUGGAAUAACACGAGGAAACUUGUGCUAAUACCGGAUAAGUCUUUACGGAGAAAGCUUUAUGCACCAUUGGAUGAGCCUGCACUUGAUUAGUUUGUUGGUGGGGUAAUGGCCUACCAAGACUGUGAUCAAUAGCUGAUUUGAGAGGAUGAUCAGCCACAUUGGGACUGAGACACGGCCCAAACUCCUACGGGAGGCAGCAGUGGGGAAUCUUGCACAAUGGAGGAAACUCUGAUGCAGCGAUGCCGCGUGAGUGAAGAAGGCCCUUGGGUUGUAAAGCUCUUUCGUCGGGGAAGAAAAUGACUGUACCCGAAUAAGAAGGUCCGGCUAACUUCGUGCCAGCAGCCGCGGUAAUACGAAGGGACCUAGCGUAGUUCGGAAUUACUGGGCUUAAAGAGUUCGUAGGUGGUUGAAAAAGUUAGUGGUGAAAUCCCAGAGCUUAACUCUGGAACUGCCAUUAAAACUUUUCAGCUAGAGUAUGAUAGAGGAAAGCAGAAUUUCUAGUGUAGAGGUGAAAUUCGUAGAUAUUAGAAAGAAUACCAAUUGCGAAAGGCAGCUUUCUGGAUCAUUACUGACACUGAGGAACGAAAGCAUGGGUAGCGAAGAGGAUUAGAUACCCUCGUAGUCCAUGCCGUAAACGAUGUGUGUUAGACGUUGGAAAUUUAUUUUCAGUGUCGCAGGAAACCGAUAAACACACGCCUGGGG